rnacentral:lncRNA from 1 species
AUUCAGCUUCCGGACUUCAGAAGCAACAUGUUUCACGUCUUUUGAACACAAAAUGUGGUAAUUAAUGGCCGUUGUGGGACAGUAUGUCACUUUCAUUUCUUUUAUGUGAUAUAUAUUUUUUAUAUAUAUGAAGUUACUUUUCAAGUGCUAGGAGCAGAGGACUUUUGAAUCUGGCUAUUGCAGUUGCUAAGUAAGUUUGGAAGGUAAAAGGAUCCAUUGCAAAAUGUUCCCAAAGUUUAGACGGAGUAAGUGUCUUGAACAAACUGAUUGCUAUUUAGGGGACAUUUGAUCAGACGUGUGUUUCAGGAAUACUGUACGUUAUAUAUUACGGAUUUGAAGCGUUUUUUACACGAACUAUUUCUUGAAAAAGGUGAUUUAUCCUGGAAUAUGAGGAAAGUGCUCUUGACAUGUAUGCACAGACACAAGAACUGACGUGGUAAGUAUUUAUGUAACAAAACAUUAUAUGAAAUUAGAUUUUUUCACCAGGCUUUCUUAAAGAUAGUCUAAGGAUUUUAGAUUAUAUAGUGAUAUAUUCACAAAACAUACAUACAAAACAGUGUAUACAUGUACAGUGUAUUUAGAAUACGGAAGAUCCAUCUUGUUCCAAUGCAUUAAACAUAAAAAGAUCUGACUACGCACGCGCAAGGAGACUAUUAUAGUGACCUCUAUAAUUAAUCCAAUUUAUUAAAGAUAAUUAAUUUUCCACGUUUCUGUGUAUAAAAUGUCGACAAUGAUUUCUUUUCUGAAUGCAAACUCCCAAAUAAACGAACCUUCUAACUGUAAUUUAACAAAAUGGCAUGAGUUAUGCCUGCAUUAUUUCCUAUUCUAGUAUUCUAUGAAGGUGCGGGUGGUCGAUGAUAUAUUUAUUAAAACGACUAACUACAGAAUUUUGUUCACAGACACUAAAAUUAGAUAAAAGUAUUAAAAUGCAUAAAUAGACCACUUAACGCGGUAAAUUAUGAUUUGUAGAAACAUUGUUUUCUAAUGGAAGGAUGACCUGUGCAGCUUUAAUAAAAAGAAGGUUUGCAAAAAAAAUCAGUUGGCUUUAGGACCCAGACAAAAUGGAAGGAGGUUCUACGCAAGUUAAGUUGGAUACAUGAUUACAACAAAAUGGAAUGAGGUUCUGCACAUGUUUACAUGUAGUUGGCUACAUGAUUACAACAAAGUGGAAGGAGGGUAUGCACAAGUUGAGUAGGUUUCACGAUCCAAACAAAAUGGAAGUUUAGUAGGUUUUCAUGUUCCAAACAAAAUGGAAGGAGGGCAUGCACAAGUUCACUCGGCUUCAUAAUGCAAACAAAAUGGAAGGAAGGUAUACACACUUUGAGUAGGUUUCACGAUCCAAACAAAAUGGAAGUUGAGUAGGUUUUCCAUGUUCCAAACAAAAUAGAAGGAUGGUAUGCACAAGUUGAGUAGGUUUAAUGUUGCAAACAAAAUGGAAGUUUAGUAGGUUUCAUGUUGCAAACAAAAUGGAAGGAGGGUAUGCACAAGUUCACUCGGCUUCAUGAUCCAAACAAAAUGGAAGGAGGCUAUGCACAAAUUGAGUAGGUUUCAUGUUCCAAACAAAAUGGGAGGAGGGAAUGCGCAAGUUGAGUAGGCUUCAUGAUCCAAACAAGUGGAAGCAGAGUAUGCACAAGUUCACUCUGCUUCAUGAUCCAAACAAAAUGGAAGGAAUGCCUGCACAAUUUCGAAUGUCUCAUAAUCCAUAGAACAAAGUGGAAGGAGGAUUUGCAGAAUUCAAACAUAAACUUUCGUGAUCAGACAUAAUGGACGGUAGAUAAAUUUCAAGUCAGACACGACAUGGACAUUACAGCAGACAGUAUGGUCAAACUGAAUGGAAGAAAAGGGUUACAUACCAA